AACGAACGCUGGCGGCAUGCCUUACACAUGCAAGUCGAACGCGAAAGUGUCUUCGGACAUUAGCAGAGUGGCAAACGGGUGAGUAACGCGUGGGAAUAUACCUUAUAGUAUGGAAUAGCCUCGGGAAACUGGGAUUAAUACCAUAUACGCCCUUCGGGGGAAAGAUUUAUGGCUAUAAGAUUAGCCCGCGUCAGAUUAGCUAGUUGGUGGGGUAAUAGCCUACCAAGGCAACGAUCUGUAGCGGGUCUGAGAGGACGAUCAGCCACAUUGGGACUGAGACACGGCCCAAACUCCUACGGGAGGCAGCAGUGGGGAAUAUUGGACAAUGGACGAAAGUCUGAUCCAGCAAUGCCGCGUGAAUGAUGAAGGCCUUAGGGUUGUAAAGUUCUUUAAGUGGGGAAGAUAAUGACGGUACCCACAGAAUAAGCACCGGCUAACUCCGUGCCAGCAGCCGCAGUAA
rnacentral:rRNA from 1 species